rnacentral:rRNA from 1 species
ACUCCUACGGGAGGCAGCAGUGGGGAAUAUUGCACAAUGGGCGCAAGCCUGAUGCAGCAACGCCGUGUGAGUGAAGAAGGUUUUCGGAUCGUAAAACUCUGUCCUAAGGGAAGAAACAAAUGACGGUACCUUAGGAGGAAGCCCCGGCUAACUACGUGCCAGCAGCCGCGGUAAUACGUAGGGGGCAAGCGUUAUCCGGAAUCACUGGGCGUAAAGGGUGCGUAGGCGGCUUAGCAAGCCAGGGGUGAAAGGCAUUGGCUCAACCAAUGUAAGCCUUUGGAACUGUUAAGCUUGAGUGCAGGAGAGGUAAGUGGAAUUCCUAGUGUAGAGGUGAAAUUCGUAGAUAUUAGGAGGAACACCAGUGGCGAAGGCGACUUACUGGACUGUAACUGACGCUGAUGCACGAAAGCGUGGGUAGCGAACAGGAUUAGAUACCCUGGUAGCACAGAGAAGUCGUGGGAACAAGGCACACAGGGGAUA